rnacentral:lncRNA from 1 species
AUGGUCACAAGGAAAGCUGAGAAGUCAGUUUUUUCCAGCCUUUUUAGUGAAAGGAGACAGAAGGAGGGGGGUGGAAAUUGCUGUGGGUCAUUCAACCAACAGUACCUGCCACACACAGAUUCUUCCCUUCUCAUCUCCUUUGCCUCCAUAAGAUCAUUAUUCCCAAGAAAUUCAUCUGCCUGUGCUCUUCCCAUCUGCCCUAAUGUUUUGUCCCUCAUCCAUUCCCACAUCCCUAUUCUUUUCAUUAUCUGUCUCCGUCCACUCCAUCAUUGGCAUAGUGCAAUGCUAUUAGUAGACCUACGUAAAAAGGGAAGAAUAACAGUAGCAAAAGCUAGGUAGGAUACAGGGAACUUAAUUCCCAGUUUGAGCAUUUAGGGAGGGGGAUGUUCAUGGAAGAUAUGUUAUUAUUUGCCUUUCUUUGACUUACCAAGUUACCAAGAUUUUCCCCUUGUGUUAUGCCUCACAGCAUCAGUGUAGGGGAAAUUCAUUACUUAUGCCACUUCAGGAAUGCCCAUGUUACUUGAAAUUUGAACACGAGUAGACUUCCAUAGUACCUUUAUAGUAUACUUGUACAUACUCAUACAAAUGUAUACUUUUGUAGCAUACAGAAAGCAGCAGAAAUACUCUUAAAUCCUUCAUCUAAGGGAAAUCCAACAGCCUUCAUACUCCAAAGGAAUGUAGUCAUCUUACUGAAGAUGAAGGAAGAGAGAUUUGGCAUCUCUAAGCUUAUAUGAGGCUGUUGCUAUGUCCAAAGGCAGGUGAAUAUCUUACAGUGAAUUUCUUCACAAUAUAUAUGGCAUACCACCCAAUCUCAAAGGCAAGUUCAAAUCUUGCCUAAUUCAAUUCCAGCCCUAUUUCAGAGCUGAAGGUUCAAACCUAAUGCAUAUACCUUUUUGAGCCAUAUGAGUUCCUAGCAAAAUAAAUCAUCCUCUAUUUUGAAAGCAGUCUACAAUACUUGUUUACCUCUGUCUCCUCAUCUAGCCAACACGCCCUAAAACGGUCUCUUAAAAUUCUUCCGGCUGGGGAAAGCCUGCAGUUCAAUCAAAUUUCUUGUCAGAAGCCUGGACCUGAAAUUCUAGCAUUAGAGAGACUGAGACCAGGUGUCGGGAUUGAGUGAUGUCAGCUAAAGGUGUUUAACACAUUAUCGUCUAACGCUUUGUUGGACCAGAGUUCCUUUCGCGUUUCUGCCCCUUUUCUUCUCCUUCUUUCCUUCUCCUUCUUCCUCUUGUAUGGCUUGCACUGUUAGGGAGUUGUUGGAUUUGUGGAUUAAGAAGAAGUGAUUCUAGAAAUAGGAAAAAGAGGGGCAGUAGGGUUAGCUGCAGCUACCUCUGUCUAGUUUUCAAGCUUUAGAAUUCCAGUGGGAGUUAGUCACAUACUCUCACGUCUUAAGUUAAAUUAUUUUUGAAUUUUUAAAAAUAUACAGAAGAUGGGGGAUUUUAGGAACAAAAUAGGUAACUACUGUUACUGGAUAUUAAUAACUUCUGGGGGGGGGCUAAACUCUUUAUAAGAAUAGUUCAGCGAGGACUCUGACUUGUUGCUCCCCUUUUAUGCGACAGAGAAAAAAUAAUUUCCUUCUUCUCUUAAAAUUCUUCUACUGGCAAAUUUAGGUGGUAAGAUAAGGAAUAUAAUUUUUUUGUGUGUGUGUGUUUUAGUCCUAUUACUGGUUAUUCCAGUUAUUCCACUCUCUGUGGUUUCACAAUCUGCGAAAUAUGGAAGUGAUGCAGAGAUAAGACAACAGGGAGGCCUGAUCCAGGGUAUAACCCACAGAAAAAUUCCUGAAUGCACUAAAUACGCUCUUCCAUUCCAGAAACAUUAGUGGAAACAGUGCAAGUAGAGAAUGGAAGAAUGUUUAUAUUUAUUCCUCUGAGCAGCUCAUAAGGUCCAGAGAAUUACAUAAUAUGGGACCAUUUAGACACCUUGAAGACCCACUGGGGACUUUUUCUUAACUGUUGCACAACAUCAGUCCAAUUCUGAGCACCAAAACAAACAAACAAACAAAAAAAAACAAAAACAAAACAAAACCAACAAACAAAACCAAAAAAAAUCAACAAAACAAAACACACAAAAAAACCUCACAAAAAAAACAAAUAAAAAAAAAAAACAAAAACAAAUUCUGAGCACAAACAAACAGAAAACCAAAUUCUGAGCACCACGACGUGAGGACUUGGAGAUCUUGGAGGGAGUUUAAGAGUCACAGUCAUUACUAAUGACCCUGACAAGUCGUAGAAAUGGGCAGAUAAUUACAGGAUGAGCUUCAUAGAUAGCGAUAUUGAGUAAUUUAGAGGAAGGGGAAAAAAAAAAACCACUGUGUACAUACAUGGGAGGAGGCUUGGCUUUGUGGGAAAAACGUGGGGAUCGGUAAAGCACCAGUGAAACAGAGGAGUUAGCCACACGCAGUACGGUUUAUGACUCUUUAUCAUUAAAAAAAUAAAACGGUUUGCGGAGCUCACGCUAGAACGCCGCAGGCAGGGCCGGGCGGCCCCGGGUCGGGUCGGGUCGGGUCGGUCGGGUCGGGUCGGGUCGGGUCCCGGCGUCCGCGGGGCUCGAACCCGCCGCCGCCGCGGGCUCCGCGAGGGGGGACGCUGGUCCUGCGUUCGGAGUCGCGAUCCGAGCCCGGCCCGGCCCCGUGCGAGCGAUCC